rnacentral:misc_RNA from 1 species
GUAGGUGAACCUGCGGAAGGAUCAUUAAUGAAAUCUAAGGAGUUGCUUUGCUGGCCUUUCGAGGCAUGUGCACGCUCCGUUUUUCAUCCAAUUCACACCUGUGCACUUAUAUCGAGGGGAACGUAAUAGUUCCCUUCGCUUUUUAUACACUCCUUCAGAACUGUCAGAACGAAAUUGUUAUUUUGUAACAAAUCUUAACAACUUUCAACAACGGAUCUCUUGGCUCUC